rnacentral:rRNA from 1 species
AGCGAACGCUGGCGGCAGGCCUAACACAUGCAAGUCGAACGAACUCUUCGGAGUUAGUGGCGGACGGGUGAGUAACACGUGGGAACGUGCCUUUAGGUUCGGAAUAACUCAGGGAAACUUGUGCUAAUACCGAAUGUGCCCUUCGGGGGAAAGAUUUAUCGCCUUUGGAGCGGCCCGCGUCUGAUUAGCUAGUUGGUGAGGUAAAGGCUCACCAAGGCGACGAUCAGUAGCUGGUCUGAGAGGAUGAUCAGCCACAUUGGGACUGAGACACGGCCCAAACUCCUACGGGAGGCAGCAGUGGGGAAUCUUGCGCAAUGGGCGAAAGCCUGACGCAGCCAUGCCGCGUGAAUGAUGAAGGUCUUAGGAUUGUAAAAUUCUUUCACCGGGGACGAUAAUGACGGUACCCGGAGAAGAAGCCCCGGCUAACUUCGUG